AGACUCCGCUGGACAUUUCUCUCUCUAAAAGAAAAUGCCUACCGAUACUGCGGCACAGAGGAAGGGAAAAACUUGCGAUCUAGUGAAGAUUCGUAUGGCCGGCCAUCGCCAUCCCAUGCCAGACUUAGACAAUCAAGCCAUAUUGUGAUGCAGAGAAACGGAAGAAAAAAAAAAUAGAAACUGCGAUCCAGCGGAGAAUCGUGCGAUUAAAGGUUUGCUAUCAAUUUAGGGAUUUGAGAUAUGGAGGUAGAGUUUGGCGCAACUCCGUGACUAACCGAAUCGGAACUAACAACAGACCGACGAAAGGUACCGUUUUGCUGCUGACAAAAUGCAUCCAUCUAGGUCUUCAACACCAGUUGAUGGUGCCCAGUUUGUUUCACCUGCGCUGAUUCAAUUAAAAUCUGCCAUUUUAGAAUCUCAAGGGAGUCUAUUACCUCCACAAGUAGCAUUUACUUCAGUUGAAAUUGAAUGUUACAGAUUUUUUUUUUUUUUCCCUUUGAUUUGGUUAUGAACUAAGAAAUAUAAGUUAGUUUUGAUUUAAGCUUUUGGGUUGGGUUAUUUGUAUAGUGAAAAGGCAUGUCUGUUUUAUUUCAAUGUAAUUUGUCAGGCUCCUAAGUAAAUACCACCAAAGUUCAAAAUGUGAAGUUGUAUUUCUAUUGUACAAUUUUAUUAUAUUUUCACUUUGACACUUGAUUUGCUGUCAUUUUUAACAGCAUGAUCAAAUGAUUAAAAUAAAUAGAGUGAGAAGUAUGAUAUUUUGAGAUUUGAAUACAAAGUAGAUUUACCC